rnacentral:rRNA from 1 species
GCUCCAAUAGCGUAUAUUAAAAGUUGUUGCGGUUAAAAAAGCUCGUAGUUGGAUUUCUGCUUAGUGCGACCGGUCCACCUUAGGGUUGGUAUCAGGUACGUACCGGGCAUAUUCCUAGGAAAUACGGCUGCGCCUCGUUGUGUGGCCUGUUCCUGGGUCUUUUUACUUUGAGGAAAUUAGAGUGUUUCAAGCAGGCAUCC